UAGCAUUCACUAAGAAUCAUCACUGUACUUCUUCUAUCCCUAGAGAUUUAUUGCCAUAUUUUCACCUCUCCCCUCAGAGUUAGGUAUUCUUGGUCGUCACUAAGAAUCAUCACUUAAUUUUUUUCCUUUUUGAACACAAGGUUUUGGGCUCAUUCCCCAAGCCGAGUCAGAUUUACAUAGCCAAAAAUCAUCUUUGAUUUUUC
rnacentral:lncRNA from 1 species